UACGUAGGUGACCAGCGUUGUCCGGAUUUACUGGGCGUAAAGAGCGCGCAGGCGGUCGUUCAAGUCGAGUGUGAAAGCCCCCGGCUCAACUGGGGAGGGUCAUUCGAUACUGAUCGACUGGAAGGCAGGAGAGGGAAGCGGAAUUCCCGGUGUAGCGGUGAAAUGCGCAGAUAUCGGGAGGAACACCGGUGGCGAAGGCGGUUCUCUAGUACGGUACUGACGCUGAGACGCGAAAGCGUGGGGAGCGAACAGG
rnacentral:rRNA from 1 species